rnacentral:rRNA from 1 species
AGCAGCCGCGGGAAUACGUAGGGUGCGAGCGUUAAUCGGAAUUACUGGGCGUAAAGCGUGCGCAGGCGGUUGUGUAAGACAGGUGUGAGAUCCCCGGGCUUAACCUGGGAACUGCGCUUGUGACUGCACAGCUAGAGUAUGGCAGAGGGGGGUGGAAUUCCACGUGUAGCAGUGAAAUGCAUAGAGAUGUGGAGGAACACCGAUGGCGAAGGCAGCCCCCUGGGCCAAUACUGACGCUCAUGCACGAAAGCGUGGGGAGCAAACAGGAUUAGAUACCCCCGUAGUCCCUGUCUCUUAUACA